AGCUUUGCGCAGUGGCAAUAUAGUAGCCAAUGAAGUCUAUCAGAGGUGUGAUUUAUUGAUAACUGAAAAACAAACCAAAUCCGUAUUCAACUAAACUGAAAUGGGCAAAUUUCUAUAGGUGGCCCUGACUUACGACA
rnacentral:snRNA from 1 species